rnacentral:rRNA from 1 species
GAAUUCGCCCUUAGAGUUUGAUCCUGGCUCAGAACGAACGCUGGCGGCAGGCUUAACACAUGCAAGUCGAACGCCCCUUCGGGGGAGUGGCAGACGGGUGAGUAACGCGUGGGAACCUACCUUUCGGUACGGAACAACAGUUGGAAACGACUGCUAAUACCGUAUACGUCCUUCGGGAGAAAGAUUUAUCGCCGAUAGAGGGGCCCGCGUUGGAUUAGCUUGUUGGUGUGGUAAUGGCUCACCAAGGCGACGAUCCGUAGCUGGUCUGAGAGGAUGAUCAGCCACACUGGGACUUAGACACGGCCCAGACUCCUACGGGAGGCAGCAGUGGGGAAUAUUGGACAAUGGGCGCAAGCCUGAUCCAGCCAUGCCGCGUGAGUGAUGACGGCCCUAGGGUUGUAAAGCUCUUUCAGUGGUGAAGAUAAUGACGGUAACCACAGAAGAAGCCCCGGCUAACUCCGUGCCAGCAGCCGCGGUAAUAAGGGCG